rnacentral:rRNA from 1 species
GCACGAAUGGCGUAACGAUGGCGGCGCUGUCUCCACCCGAGACUCAGUGAAAUUGAAAUCGCUGUGAAGAUGCAGUGUAUCCGCGGCUAGACGGAAAGACCCCGUGAACCUUUACUGUAGCUUUGCACUGGACUUUGAGCCUGCUUGUGUAGGAUAGGUGGGAGGCUUUGAAGCGAGGACGCCAGUUCUCGUGGAGCCAUCCUUGAAAUACCACCCUGGCAUGCUUGAGGUUCUAACUCUGGUCCGUUAUCCGGAUCGAGGACAGUGUAUGGUGGGCAGUUUGACUGGGGCGGUCUCCUCCUAAAGAGUAACGGAGGAGUACGAAGGUGCGCUCAGACCGGUCGGAAAUCGGUCGCAGAGUAUAAAGGCAAAAGCGCGCUUGACUGCGAGACAGACACGUCGAGCAGGUACGAAAGUAGGUCUUAGUGAUCCGGUGGUUCUGUAUGGAAGGGCCAUCGCUCAACGGAUAAAAGGUACUCCGGGGAUAACAGGCUGAUACCGCCCAAGAGUUCAUAUCGACGGCGGUGUUUGGCACCUCGAUGUCGGCUCAUCACAUCCUGGGGCUGAAGCCGGUCCCAAGGGUAUGGCUGUUCGCCAUUUAAAGUGGUACGCGAGCUGGGUUUAGAACGUCGUGAGACAGUUCGGUCCCUAUCUGCCGUGGACGUUUGAGAUUUGAGAGGGGCUGCUCCUAGUACGAGAGGACCGGAGUGGACGAACCUCUGGUGUUCCGGUUGUCACGCCAGUGGCAUUGCCGGGUAGCUAUGUUCGGAAAAGAUAACCGCUGAAAGCAUCUAAGCGGGAAACUUGCCUCAAGAUGAGAUCUCACUGGAGCCUUGAGCUUCCUAAAGGGCCGUUGAAGACUACAACGUUGAUAGGUCGGGUGUGUAAGCGCUGUGAGGCGUUGAGCUAACCGAUACUAAUUGCCCGUGAGGCUUGACCAUAUAACACCCAAACA